CUUCUACGCUGAAAUUGUAUUGCUCUAAUUAGUAAAAAUGACGCUUUUGCUAGUUAUUUGUUUAGUUAAUUGCUUUACAUAAUAAAGCAGGUCUUCAUUAUUUUGGUUUAUUUCCAACAGUUUUUGGUUGUGGACACCUGGGGGCAGUAGUGGGCACAGGUAAAAGGGGAAUACAUAAUUAAGUUCUGUUUGUUUGCUUAUGUGGAAUAAAAAUAAUUAAUUUUUCA